ACCCGGUGAAGAAUCUUUCUUUUUCUAUCUCUCCCACUCUGUGUCGCUCCUGAUGAAGAAAAGAGCAUGCAGCCGACUGGAAUCGAAAGGUGAAGAGAGAGUUAAGAGGCAUCGAGGAACAGAGAAAGAUGAUGAAAAGAGAAGCAGGAGAAGUGAGAAGAAGAAGGAAAAGAAAUCUCACAAGCACCACCGAUCAAGUACAUGAAAGUGAGAGUAAAGAAGAUGUUCUUGAUGAAGGUGAUGAUGAUGAGGAUGAUUUGGAGGAAGAGCAUGAGACACAAGUUC